rnacentral:rRNA from 1 species
AUGGAAGAUGGUGAUUUGCUUGGUGGAGUUGAGAUCGAGGUUUCUAUUCCUGGGAGUGGUGCACCGACGGACAGGAGAUUUUUCUGGUCCCAUUCCAGUGUGAGACUGUCCAUUUAUGAAAAUGCUGCUUUCCAGGCGAUUUGUUUUCUGCAGGGUGUGUAUGGGUUUGUUGUGAUGGAUUACAACUAUAAGAGUAUGUCUACUUAUCGAGAGCUUGCUCGCUCUGCAAUGGUUUUGGCUGCGUCGUUGGUCCGGACCAUGCACACUGAUGCCCAUGCUGAUGUGUCUGCCGUUGUGGGUGACGUCGAUGUUGCUGCGCAGUGGCAGAUGCUGCAUACUGCCUUGGUCGCAAUGGCAUGUGCUUUAUAG